CAGGCAUCCAUAUUUCUUGACUGCUUAC
rnacentral:piRNA from 1 species